rnacentral:rRNA from 1 species
CCCGCAGGGGGACAACCCGCCGAAAGGCGGGCUAAACCCGCGUANAUGCCACCGGGGCAUCCCGGAGGCAGGAAAGGCUUCGGCCGGACAGGGAUGGGCAUGCGGCGCAUUAGGCAGUAGGCGGGGUAACGGCCCACCUAACCGACGAUGCGUAGGGGUUCUGAGAGGAAGGUCCCCCACACUGGUACUGAGACACGGACCAGACUCCUACGGGAGGCAGCAG